UAAUUAAACAAUUGGUUAAAUAUAACUAUUACGUGUUUAUUGUUGAUGGAAACGAAAAUACAGCUUGAAUGUGUGAGGUAUUAUAUACAAAAUAUUUAUAUAGAAAGUAGUCUAUAUAGAUUGUAGUAGCUAGAAAUCACUAGAUCACGAUUACGAUUAGCAUUUCUAUAGACUAUACUUAUGGCGCAAGUAUUUAUAUCAAAUGCAACAGGUAUUUAUACGCUUACCUAAAAUUUACAUACUUAGCCUGGACUAUUUUAUCUUUCCAACAAUUGUGAUAUUACUUUCUUAACUGUGUUUAUUCUAACCCAACCAGUCUCUGGAUCACCCGGAGAAAAGACACGAUUUUUAAGCCUAGCGUUGGAAAAGAGAACUGACUCUUCAGUUUUCACACGAGUCCGUAGCACACGAGUCGAACACACGAACUCAGAGAUAAAAUAGGCACGUACCCCGCUGUUUGAUAUUGCCUGUAUUAUGUAAGAAUGCAGCAUUAUUGUGUGUAUCAUGCAAACCUGAUUCAAUGUGGGCCCAUUGUAAUUUAGGGCAAUGUUUUUUAUAAACAAGUGAAGUUGUAAAGUAAACAUAUAACCAAUCAAAAUUGUGUGUUCAAUAGAGUAAUAUACAUGAAAAAAUUUCUCAAUUCUAAUUGGCAAAGACCAGUGCAAUUUUUUCGAAAUACAGUGGAAAAAAAUGAAAUACAGUGCAAAUUUCUUAAUUUUCUUAAUUUUUUAUUUUUCAAAUUUCUUAAUUUUCUUAAUUUUGUAAUCUCUAAUUGCAUAAUUGCAUAUUUUUUUCAUGUAUAUUAUUAAUAACUAAUAGUAUGGUUUUCUCAUGGAAUUUGUAAAAACAUACACUCCUGAAUUUUUCAAAUGUUGUUCGGAUUCGUGCAAUUUUGAUAGCCUUUGGAAAACUCAUUUGUGCAUUUUUUUUCCCAAAUUGCAUGCGAAACCAUACUCUAGAGAUGUAUGGGAGGAAGAAAAUCAGGGGGAGAAAGAAAUUUACCUGACUUUUUUACUUUUUUCCCAUUGUGCCAGAAAAUUUUUUCCUAUUUCUUACUACUUUUACAUAUUUCUGGUAUUUUCAAAUACUAUAUUGCAUAUGUCUUCUAUUUAAAGUUAUUUCCCUAAAUGUUUGCCCAAAUUAUGUUUAUAAUUGCCUGACUUAAUUUUGACUGGGGGCAUCUGCCCCCCCCCCCCUCCACUCCCCCCCCCAUUCCUAUGAUUAUCUAUACUAACAAGAUGUCGGUUCAGGCGUUCAUUCUGGGUACAGGCCCGGACCUCCACUUUUUUAGUUGGGGGGGGGGGGGCUAAUUGUCUUUGCCCCCCCCACUUUUUAACAAUGUUCAGUAAUAAACCACAAAGUUUAAUGAUAUUAUUUCAGUGAAGCGUGUAGACAAAAUAAUUUGAGAUAUUUUAUGACAUACUUUUAGCCUACAGAUUCUGUACUAAAACCACUAAUUCUGUUUUGUAUUGGCGUGGUUUAAUCAAAUAAUCUCCCUGUUGAACCAGAGCCUUCGCGACGUUUCAAUUUAUUAUUUACUGUUGAAGGCUCUGGAAUCCAGGGUACCAUACCUUCAGAACUCUUUAAAUCUCCUUCUAAAGUGCAGAAAAUAGCAUUUGAGAGAUUCUAAUUAAAAUUUUCCCGGGGGCAUGCCCCUGGACCCCCUAGAAUGUCACAUGCCAUCACCUGCCUUCACUGGGCGCUAAGUGUGCUCCCCCACUUUUACAGCCACUCUCACGCCUCUGUGAAGACACUUUAUAACCAUUUUAUAAUAAAAGGAGAUGGUGACAGAUAAUAUCUCCAGUGCUUUAAUCACAUUUAGUCUAAUAUCAGAUGUAUAGUGUAACUACAUGUAUCUCUAAAUAGUAUGCCAGGACUACAGAAUGUACUGUCAUCAAAUUCAUCAUAAUAUCAAUUAUGCUCAUGAGCACUGUGUAACAAGUUAAGGUUUUUGUCAAGUAUCGAGGGUCCAAUGUUGAGGCAUCCUCAUUCCCAGGGCCUCAUGGCCAUCCACAACCUUCAUGUAUAGGCCCUGGGGUACAUGGAACUGGAACUGCAAGAAAAGUUGCAGCAGUUUCUAAAGCGAAUUGGGAUGCUUCAGCACCCAUAACAAUUUUCACCAACACAGUCUCUUCAUUUGUAUGAUGUAUAUCAUCAUACUUAGAUCUAUGAUGUAUGUUGUCAUACAUGUGCGCUUUUAUAUAUGAUGUAUAUUGAUAAGUGAUAACCUGACCCUCACCCCCCCCCCCACUCUAACCCCCAACCGGAGUCACCUAACCCCUCACCCUAAUGGCGGGUGAAACGAAAAUGUUUCAUACCCUUGUAUAAAGAUGUGCUUCUUAACAUUUUCAAUCUUAAAUUUGUUGUUUUGGAGCUAAUUUUGUACAAAUUUCAGUCAAGUUCUGUCCAUAUAUUUACCUCUGUAAAAAGCGCUUCUUAGCGUGUCUAGCAUUUUCGAUUUAAAACGUGUUGUUUUGGGGCUACAUUUUUGCUUUAGUUCAAUUUUUCCUUGCGUGAUAUAUUCUGAAUGCGUAAUGAGCUAGCUUGCCGGCCCACAGAUCGAAAUUUUAAUUAAAUUAUACACUGUUUGAAAGAAAAAAUCAGUGAAAAAAAAAACACGCGCAUGAGCAGAACGCAGACUUCACAGCCUCUUUAAAUACUACUUAUAAAUGCCAAUCAAAAGCUACAGUUGAGAUUUCAAACGUGUGUGGUGCAUUAUCUACGUUGUCUCGGAAUGCAAGUAGCAAACUAUUGUUUUGUCUAUUGAAUCAGGACUUGUUUACACGCAUAAAAACGCUCAGGUUGAUGCAAUACUGAUGAAAACAGGAUUGAACAAUGUUUUGCUGCCCACAUUGUUCAUAGCUGUCAACAAUAUUGAACAAUAUUGUUACACCCGAUUCAGGCUCAACAACAUUGUUCAAUAUUGUUGACAGCUAUGAACAACGUGGACAGCAAAACAUUGUUCAGUCCUGUUGAGCAACGGGCUCGGCGUUUUUUGCCGUGUACAUAACACGCGCUAUAUUUAUUUUGCCGAAAUACAUUGCCAUUGCCGAUGGCGGCUGAUAAGUCCAUGCCACAACAUUAAGCAAAUUAUUUUGCCCGCAAAUUUCUACCCCCAAAAAAAAAAAAUUGGACAAUAAAGAAACCAAAAUAUUUUAAAAAUACGACCCUCGACUUUUGAUUAAUGACCCUCGACACUCGACUUUCCACACUCGACCUCCCAUCCUCGACAAAAACCUAAACUCCUGUGCAGCAUCAUUGUUAUGAAAUACUGAAUUGCUAAAAGUAAAAAUAGCUAACACAAACAAACCACAUUUAUUAAACACGCAAAGAAAAUGAUUUAAAAAGAAAUUUAAUUUUAGUUGUGUCAUAUGUGUGUGUGUGUGUGUGUGUGUGUGUGUGUGUGUGUGUGUGUGUGUGUGUGUGUGUGUGUGUGGUUUUCUAUUGAAACAAAUUACAAUAAUAGCAAUAUUACUGUUAAAUAAAGUAAAGUAAACAUAACUCCAAUUCGAAGUACUUAAAUGACUGUCACUAACAUUGGACUGUUCGAAACGCACACAGAAAAAACAACUUCCAACUUAUUUACAAUAAACUUUCUUUAAAUUAACCUCGAGGUUUUUAGCUACGUUCCAGACCCCCAACCCGCUACUGAACUAUAACGUGAUGUAGAUUGAGAACAAUAUAAAUUGAUAAACGGUAGCUACAUAAUUAUGUUGUUUAUAGAUUGAUUAUAGAGCGUUGCACAUGUCGUCACAGCCGCCAUGUUCAACAUGGUGUUCCAAUUCAAAAGAAUUUUAAUUAGACUCUUUUGUCUGGAACACCAACGUGGCCACCAUGGCUUAAACGGUUAAACAAUUCACAAAUAAUUAUGGGCAUAUCAGGAACAAAAUCUUUGUGAAACAUGGCGAAAAUACGAACAAAAAGCAACUUAUAAAAGUGACAGGCAUAAUAACUAAACAAAAUAAUUCGUACAUCGUAUAAUUUGUUGAUGUUUGCAUGAACAAAAGCGCACCAAAACCCUAUCAAAUUGCUAAUAAAACCUAUAGUAUGUUUAGACUUACAUUGAUUGUCUUUUAGUCACAGUAUGCAUAAAUUUCUUCCUUUUUUUGGUAAAACUUUUCGAGAUUUAAAGAAAGAGAUCAACUUGUUCGUUUGUUGCUACGCUACGUCAUUUAGGGAAUAUCGGGGGGAGGUGUCUUUCGUAAACAAAGAAGUGUUUCCGUUCUACAAAAUUGUUUAAAAUUAAAUUUCAAAAUAAAGUGGAAACUGCACUUCGCAAUUACGAUUUUGUAAUCACGCGUAGCCUGCGAACAGGCUCUCAAGUUGAAUUGAGAGCCUGCACUGAUGAUAUACAAUUUUGAAUAUCUGCCCCGUAACGUUCGUUUUUCCAAAUAUGGAAUGUCUAUCCUUAUAUGGUGUUGUUUACAACUUUCGUGCAAACUAAAUUUAGACCGUGCAAACUAAAUUUAGACCGUACAGUUUAUACUGUUUUUCGAAAUAUAAGAUAUUCAAGCAGAAGUUUAAAUGUUUUAAAUACUGUUUUCUCAAAACAAUACUGUUUUCUCAAAACAGAACAUUUCAUGCUUUGAGAUAAGAUGGUCAAGACCAAUUUGAUCAGUUAAUGUGUUUUUUACUCAUAGUUCAGCAGUUGACAUAUAUAGAGCUCAGCGGAAACAUAUAAAUUAUAGCAUCGGACCAAUGAGAAUUUCGCGUCACGAUUUGAGACGCAGAUAUUCAAAUUCAUUAGUCAUCGAUGCAGGCUCUCAAUUCAACUUGAGAGCCUGUUCGCAGGCUAAAUCACGCGUUUUAUAACAAACAUAAACUUGCAGGGAAGUGAGUCCGGGAUUGGACGCACCUCGGGUGGCUGGAAGUUUCCCGAACUUACCGAGCGAAACGAGGUGAGUUCGCGAAACUUCCAGCCACCCGAGGUGCGUCCAAUCCCGGACUCACCGAACCUGCAAGUAUAUAUGUUUGAUUUUUACCCCAUACACCGAGCCAUGCACAUUGUAGACAUUGUAGCUCUUUGCGAUAUAUUCGUCGAUGUUUUGUCAACAUUUUCUCGGCCAAAAAAAUGAAUGGGCUCUUAACAUUUCUUUAUCUACGUUUAGAUUACCUUUAUUGCAUUUUUUCUUUGGUUUUUCUUCAGUCUCAGUAGGUUAGUCACCGAAAAAAGUUCUUUAAAGUAGGUUUAUCGGCUAAAUCUUGUCCGCCAUAUUUGUUAUUGUUAUUCCAACGUAAGCAGUUUAGCGGGUGAGUUCGGGCGAAAAGCAGGUGAGUUCGGCAAAAAGCAGGUGAGCUCGACGACAAGCUAACCUGCUCUAAACCAAUCAGAAAGUCGCUUUUAAUAUAGGUAUGGGAUAAGAUUUCAGACCAAAUUGCACUCCACUCAUUGCAAUUACCAUUAUUAAUUUGUAAGGUUGUAACUGUAAGUUUGUUAUCAAACGCUUUCCACCUAGUGACGAUUUAUACUUAGACCAAAACAAUGCAGCUGUAGAGUUUUGUAUUAACAAGGCAAUUUCGAGAGCGAUUUUUUAUUCUGUUUUUUUUCGUCGUCGAGUAAUCGAGUUUGCGUUAGCCGCAUCGCAGGCUCAGAUUCCAGUGUUCCAGUCGUUUCAGCUUACUAUACAGAUCAGUUUUGAAGAUGGCGGCCAUUCAAUGAGUGACUAUUUCAGUCUCAAACAAUUUAUUCAUUUGUCAACGAAUUUUACCGCGCUUUUCUGUGGAUUUUGGAUAUCUCCUAUACUCUGCACUUUCUUGGAAGCUGGCUGGGUAUAUACGUUUAAUACGGACUCAGGGAAUGUAAACAAUGUUGUCUGCGUUAGCGCAUCGCAUGCUCAGAGACAAUGUGCAUUUAUGGAUAACGUUUGUAUUUGUGAGUUAUACUUGUGUUUCAUUGGACAUUACGAAAACAUCUCCUGAGGAUUGCGCCACGCUUUCACGCUUUGCGGUUCACGAUGUGUCGUCAUUUUCAGGUCAGUUUGAACGCCUGAGCAGACGUCUUGUUGUAAAUUACGGUAAAAUUGACUUGCAUGUAUUUAAAAAUAAAUGUGUUUGACCUAAUCUUUUACAGUAAGUACACUGUCAAGGUAAUUGCAAGUUAUGGUGCAAUAGACCAUGUUUGAAAAGAAAUCUGUUACAGCCUUUGUACGGUAUAAAUACAGUGUUCGGUUAAAAAACAAUUUAUGUACAAUUACAGCACAUUCUCUGGCGUCCCAGCUCCCAGUACUUUUUAAUGUAAAAUUACAGGGUUUUUUAAAAUAUAACAUCCUGUUGACAAUGUGAGAUUUCCGAUUCCCAGUUGUAAAUAUCAAAGAAACUAUUCAUGCAGCACUGCAGCUAUACUUAUUUUGAAAUUUGAACGAGUCCGCUUAUAUAGAAUACAGUUCAAACAUCACGCCUGUAUACAGUAAAUCUAUCGAACCUAAUUCGUGUUAUUACAGUAACAAUAAAGAGUUCUCUGUCAACGCCGGCGCGCCGCAAUCGCGACGCUGAUCACCCCAAACAAAAAUUUUAAUUCGUGUUAUUACACUGACCUGAAAGGUCAAGUGUUUUAAAUCCCUAAUUUUCUGUUUUCUGUUUUCGUCGUCGAGAAAUCGAGUUUGCGUUAGCGCAUCGCAGGCUCAGGGUGCAAGGAUUAAGCCAAAAUGCCAUUGCUUCUUCGAUUCCACGAUUUAUAUAUCAUAGUAACAAGUUCGCAUUUAUGUACGUAAUAACCGGCUCAUGCCAUGCUUGUGGUACAUUUUUCGUUUAUCAGCCCAUAUAUUGACUUGUACACACGCGCACAAUUCCGAAUUCCAAGGGUGACAUAUUCAGUCCAGUUUCAAAAUGGCAGCUUUUGGCUGAGUGAUCAAAAUAUAUUUCACACAGUUUCGUUGAAUUUUCAAAGAGUUGUGCUGGUUUCCUAUCAAUUUUACGUUGCGUCGCACUCUGGACUUUCUUGCGUGUUGAAUUAAUGUAACGAUGAAUUAAUUCUUUGUGUAACGACUCGAAAACCCCAAAAUUUGGACUCAGCGAAUUUUAAUAUACAAUAUAAUGGAACAUAGACUAUAGUGGAAUACAAUUAACAAGGACAAGUUAAAGGUUUGACAGUUUGACUUUAAUGAACAACUAUAAAUAUACGUUAUAGACUCAUAAACAUCCGUUGUGUACUUGUGUUCAUCUUUGUGUCGCACUCUGGACUUUCUUACGUGUUGAAUUAAUGCUUUUCUUUUUUUAUUAAACGACUCGAAAACCCCAAUAUUUCGACCCAGCGAAUUUAUACAAUAUAGUGGAAUAUAAACAAGGACAAGUUAAGGUUGACAGUUUGACUACACAACGUAGUUUUCAUAUAACAAAAUCUCCUAAUUCCUUACGAUAGUUUUAGCCAAAUGUCAACAAUACAUCUUACGAACAUGUACUAAAAUUCGCGCAGUACUAGAAUUCGUGUAGCGCUGGGUGCGCAAAUUUUAGUACUGCGCGAAAUAUAAUCCGCGCGAAAAGCUUUGUGGUAGCUAGCGCUACAGUAAAGAUAAAGCGUGCGUUCAAAAUACCAACAAGGACUAAAACAUUUAUUGUAUGGUUCUCAUUUGCUUUAUAAUACAAUAACAUUAGUUCGACGCGAAUUUUAAUACAAGUAAGGUAUGGUAUCAUAUUUCAUAAUAUAAGGGACAAUGUAAACUAGUCAUACAUUUCGCCGAACAUAUAAAGCUUUUCGUUUUAAGGGGAGGGGGAGAGGGGGGGGGGGUAUGCUCGCUGAGAUAUUUAUAAUUAGAAACAAUAAAAAUCGAAAAAUUUGAAUUGGGGCGUGACGCGAAAUUAACCCAUUUACAGGCAGUACUUUGCUGGCAGUGCAAUUGUCUAUACAGUAAAUACUAAAGUAGAUAGACAGUAAAUACUAAAGUAGGGUGCAUUGUCAGCUAAUGGGUUAAUAAAAUACAUUGGCAGAUGUGUUUGUUAAACCAUUUACUGACAGUACUCUACCACUGACAAGUAAAAUCGUCUGGCGGUACACGGUGUAAAUUUGUCUGGCGUUAGUCUAUUAGUUAUUACUGAAAGUAGCGUGUGUUGCCAGCUAAUAGAUUAGUAGACCUUAAAAUUCACUUGCUUAAAUGAUGAACGAGAAACAAAUUUGUGCACGAAACAUAGGGGAUAUAACCUUCAUGUGCAGGCCUGCCAUUCUACCAAUGAUGAAACUUGGAAAUGAUGCCAUUGGGUCAAAAGUAAACUUCCCUUUAGAGAAUUGUUUAGAAAUACAAACGUUUGCAUUCAGUUCAUGUGGCAAAAAGGCAGCACUUUCCUUGCGAUAGUAACUCCUAGUUAUAGAUUUGCACCAUAGGGCAUAGGUCUCCCAAAAAGGUCUUCUAUAUUUUAAAAAAAUCCAUACAAUUUGCUUGCUGUUUACGACUUGUAUUCUUGUCUACUGCACCAUAGCAUGCAUGUCGUCAUUUUCAGGUCAGUGUGAACGCCUGAGCAGGCGUCUUGUUAUUAAUAAUUCAAGAGGUUAAUGUAAAUUAAAUAUAGAAACGUAGUAUAAGCAUCCUACACCGAAUGACACACUUCGACCAUCUGACACCAUCUGUGCCAUCUAACCAUCAUACACCAUCUGACAAACUUCGACCAUCGUACACCAUCUGUACCAUCUUCACCAUCAGAAAACCCUUCCCUGUCUAACCACCCUACACCAUCGGACAACCAUCUGACACACUUCCACCAUCAUACAUCAGCACCAUCUUCACCAUUUGAUAACCCUGACACACUUCGACUAUCUUAAACUAUCUGUACCAUUUGACAACCCUUCCCUGUCUAACCAACCUACACCACAAACCCCUCGUAUUGAUACUAAAGGUGAAAAAGUGAGCUGAACUGACUUCCAUGAAUUUGGUGUCGAGCCUUUCUUCCGACCUAAAUGCAGGGUGUCUAAAAAAAAGAAACCUUUAGAAAUCAUCCUUUUGUUAUAAUUUGAAUACCUGAGCACUAUGCUGAACCCACGGAUAUUAUAAAAAGAAAUAAAAAUAUCCUUGUUAUAUUAGAAAUUAAAAUAUCCUUGUAAAUUCCCUGCUCCUGGGAAUUUAAAAUAACUUAGUUCUAAUAGCAUAAAGUAGAAGAACUGCACAAAAUGUCAAAUUACAAAUUAGUCAAACUCACACUAUCGUUCGAGUAAAAAUGGUUCAACUGACCACAUAGCAAAGAGUUUUUAUUGUGUUAAAUUAUACGUAAAUCAUAUUUGAGAUCAGUGUUGUUUUUUAUUCAUUCGUGGCGUAGCUGAAGCACGGUUGACAAACUGCUAAAAAACUCCGUAAAAAGGCUUUGGUUUUGAUCCAAUCGACACUUUUCUGCUUAACUAACAAAACAAUAAAGAAGGUAAACAGAUUAAAAUGAUUUAUUUUCCUCCUCAUUUUACAAAAAUGACUUGCUUGAAAAUUGUUCUUUUAACAUGCAGCCAGGAAUUUUACUUAGGGAAAACAUUUUCAAAUGUUUAUUACAACAUUUUUUAAAAAUAUUUAAACGAGUGGAGUCCAGAACUCUUGUUUAAUCUGUCCACUAAGGUAUUUAAAAAAGUUUGAGGAUGAAUUGAAAUAUUGAAUUUGUUCUAAUAUCUAUAUGCGAAAUAUAGUACAGCCACAGCUUUUUCGAUGUUUCAGUAAAAGAAAUAUUUAUUUUUUCGCAUUUUGGUCUGAGUAAAGUACAUUUCAGGCUUGAUACGAACUGCAUCGGAGUAAAUUUAGUUUAUUUUCCUAUCUUUUGUAUCGUUAGGGUGAGUUUUUAAAUUUUCUGGGUAGUUUUUUUGAGUUUGAAAAUUGUCUGCACUCCGUUUUGGUUUGGCGCAAAACGCGGGAGACCGUAUCGUGUCCUCUUGUCAGCCAAUCGUUAUUAAUAAUAUUAAAUAUGUGAUAUAUUGAAUUUUUACCUUUUACUGUUUUAGCUUUAACGUGGAUUGAAACAUUCAAACAUGGCGUUGGUUUUCAAUUAUGGAAAAUUUUCAACAUGCAUUGGACUUCUAUUAACAUUGUCUGAAAUCAGAGGUCAACUUGGUAAGAAAAAACUCUUUUUGUAAAAUGAAGAUUGGAAUUAACCAAUAAAUAAUUAUGUCUUAUUAAAUGGUCUGGUAUGACCUUUCCGAAUAUUUUACGAGUUUCGAACGCAUUUUUCCAAGCUCCUGAAAUGACAAGGAAAAAUGCGAGAUAAUAGUAAGUGCUCGGCAGGAUUAUAGUCAAAUUAUUCAAUACGAUUUUUAUUAUGUGACAAACCUCACUGAAAAUUAGAUUUCAUUGUGUUAUUUAAAGGAUUUGCAGCAUGCAUUUAGUAUAGGUAAUCACACAGGAAGGAGUGCAAUUAAUGAUUAACACUACGAGUGAUAUUUGAAAAAUGUGCCAAAAUUGCACGAGCCGCCGAGGCGAGUGCAAUUUGGCACAUUUUUCAAAUAUCACGAGUAGUGUUAAUCAUUAAUUGCACGACUUGCCCGUGUGAUUAUUUAUUUAUUAUAUGCAUGACAAAAUCGCUUUCUUUAUAUUUCAACUGCAUUUUGUCAAGAGUUUUUAAUUCUUUUGCAAGAAAUUUGGUAUAAACAAACUUGAGAAAUGAUUAUAAACUCAUAAAGGCACAUAACUUAAACUAGAACACAAGAUUCAAACUCAAACAACAUAUUUUAGACGAAGAAAAUCUUUAUAAAUUGUAUUUCAAACUUACAUAGUCACGUUUCGCUGCAUCCCGCCAAGAUUAUUUCUUAAGACUGUUUCCAGGUAUUUUCCACAUGUUCGUUUUGCCAUACAAUGUUUCUUAAACUCAUUCUUGUGCCAAAAUUCAGUUAAAUUCGUCUACAUUUGUUAGAAAUACUUAUCUAAAUUUCGCCGCCAUAUUGGAUUUUGUUGUUUUGAUUUCCCGCUCCCCCCAGCCAUCACGAAAAUCAUUAAUUGCACUCCUGGAGAGUGCAAUUGAUGAAAUAAUUGCACUCCUCUUAACCAAUCAGAUUGCAGUAAUUUUGUCAUGUAUAUAAUAAAAGCUGUAAAUGGCAAUUUCAGAAUUUCAGUGAUAAUUAAUUAUGACACUGACGUCAUCGUUCUUCAGUAGAUGAUUCCAGCUAUAUAGACUAAAUUUUGAUCUAGGCUAAAAGUAAAAUCCAUCAGCUGGAAGGAGCAUGUUAAAAGAUCAUAGGUAGACGAGGUAUCUCAAUACGCAGGCUUACUUUCAGCGUUAAGCUUUAAUAAAAGUGAAUUGAAUCCAAACAUGAACGUUUUGCUGUAGUACCCUUUUCAAAAUUUAUAUUUGAAUCUGAAUCAGGAUUUCGCUUUUUCUGUCUGAUACAUCCUGUAUAGGAAAAUAAUUAAUGCGCAGGAUUAUACGCAAUACUUGUCGAAUUUUAUUUCCUAACUGUACAAUUACAUGUGUCCGGGAUUCGUAAACUUGAAUUCUUGUUGCUUUUUUAAAUAUUUUUUAAAAUUUGGUUAACAUUAAACAACUAUAGACAUUUUUUUGAAGGCUCGCGUUGCUCGCGUCAUGGCAAAAAUAAAUUAAUAUUUUACACUUUUAACCACAAAACUACAGAUUUCUAAAAUAUAUAAAGGCCCUGUCACACUAUUACGUAUGAGAGAAACAUAUGAGAAGCGUAUGAAAAUUAAUGAAAUAAUUUUCAUACGCACAAAAAUCCUUUGAAAUGCCAGCGUAUGAGUACCGUACAUCUGGUGUACCUCUAGCGUAUUCAGCGUGUGCCUAUAGUAUGCUUAUCGUAUAAAGCAUACGUCCGAAUACGCACAAAAUUUUUGAGCAUGCUUAACAAAAAUUUCUGCCACGCCGUAUGCCAUGCACCGCAUGCGACCGUGCUUGAAACGUAUAUAUAAAACCUAUGCCUAACGUACCCCUAGCGUAUGUCAGCGUAUACCGGCGUAUGAGUGAUAUUUUUCAUACGCUAGUACGACACGCAAUAGUGUGACCAUGUUUUGGAUGUGUUCUCUGAUAUUUAUGAUUAAUAAUUAACAAUUAUUCGCCGAAGGCGAGGUGAUUAUCGGUGAAUAAAAACCGAGACGAAGUCGAGGUUUUUAUUCACGAUAAUCACCGAGCCUGAGGUGAAUAAUUGUUUUAGUAUGAUUUCAUAGGUGAUUAUUUGGAAAAAAAUUUAAAAUGCACAUUUCUUUGUCACUUAAUUGACAAAACGGCUUCGGCCGCCAUUUUGAAAAUAAGCAGGUGAUUAUCGCGUAAUAAUCACCUCAACGGCAACCAAUCAGCGUGGAGAAUUUUCAAUAAUCACCUAUGUAAUUAUACUAAUGCCUGUUAUUGAUAAGAGAGAUACUUUAAUUGAACAAGUUAAUUUUACGUGAAUUACCAUUUUAUAAUGUUAAUUUUAUUCAAGAUUUCAAAAUUAUAGCCAGGUAUCUCAGGAUUAAAAUUAGAAAACUUACUAUCUCUAAUCUUAGUUUCAGUAAUACCCAUGCAUGACGCUAAAAUUAAAAUUAAGCUGAGAUAAUAAAUGCGUUUGGAAAUCUUCCAGAUUACGUUUCAAGCUCCUCACGUUAUUGUGUAUAGCAUCGAAAAACUGGUAUCAGUAAAAUAAUUCGUUUGAGAUUUCUUUAAAUUACUAAAUUUACGAGGUGAAUAAUACUGAGUUUGUAAAGCUGAUGAUUUAAGUUAAUACUUUCAGUGUUCGUAUUUAAAUUAAAUAGGCCAAAGUCAUGCAUACUAGGAUGUUUAUCGAAAUCUUUUAUAUAGUAGGAAGGUUAGUGGUUACGCUAAAUAUAGCGUAACCAUAUAUGCAUCUCUUCACUAAUUUAAACGUUUUAUCGAUUUAUCAAUAUGAUUUAUUAUAAAUCGGUUUGUAAUUUAAUGUAGGACGUCUCUAACAGCUCUUGUCCAUCAACAAUUUCCGAUUAUUUUAAUCGGUCCAGAAAUAUUCAUACCCAUAAGACUAGGCAUAGUGCAUCUAAUAACUUUUACAUUGAAUAUUCAAGACUAAAAAAAUUAAAUGCUUCUUUUGUGAGAUCUGGAGUGAAAAUAUGGAACAAUAUACCUUCCAAUGUACGUGAAUAAGGGAAAAAAAUUAAUAAAGCAUUGCAUAAAUCUUUGUUAACAAUUCUUGGGCUAGAGGAUGAUUAUGUUGAUUGUAUUGUAUAUUGUAGCUUUUUAUUUUUAUAAUCUGUUCCAGUAGAUUCCUGUAAGAUGACUGGCAAAACUAACUACACCAGAAAUAUUCCACUGGGAUCAAGCUUUUCUGUCACCGCCAUGUAUGAGUGCACUCCGCCUGCAGUAGUGGAAAUAUGCAUUUGGCGACUUAAAAACGUGGAUUUAGCAUUAAUACGGUUUCCUUUCCCUUCUUUGUCAUAUUAUUAUGGUCGCACCGAUGUGGAAAUCACUGGCAAUACUUCAAUGUCUACACUGACAGUACGCAAAGCUACAAUGGAAUAUAAUGGGACAUUAUUUGCAGUCAUACAAGAAGGUGGAAGAAACACCUCAGCUGGCAAAGUGCCCCCUCGAUAUUUGCUUAGAGUAAAGGUCAUUAUAACAGGU
rnacentral:lncRNA from 1 species